rnacentral:rRNA from 2 species
AAGGGAGCUUGCUCCCUGGAUUCAGCGGCGGACGGGUGAGUAACACGUGGGCAACCUGCCUGUAAGACUGGGAUAACUCCGGGAAACCGGGGCUAAUACCGGAUAACUUCUUUUCUCGCAUGGGGAGAGGUUGAAAGACGGUUAUGCUGUCACUUACAGAUGGGCCCGCGGCGCAUUAGCUAGUUGGUGGGGUAACGGCCUACCAAGGCGACGAUGCGUAGCCGACCUGAGAGGGUGAUCGGCCACACUGGGACUGAGACACGGCCCAGACUCCUACGGGAGGCAGCAGUAGGGAAUCUUCCGCAAUGGACGAAAGUCUGACGGAGCAACGCCGCGUGAGUGACGAAGGCCUUCGGGUCGUAAAACUCUGUUAUCAGGGAAGAACAAGCAUUGGUUAACUGCCAGUGCCUUGACGGUACCUGACCAGAAAGCCACGGCUAACUACGUGCCAGCAGCCGCGGUAAUACGUAGGUGGCAAGCGUUGUCCGGAAUUAUUGGGCGUAAAGCGCGCGCAGGCGGCUUCUUAAGUCUGAUGUGAAAGCCCACGGCUCAACCGUGGAGGGUCAUUGGAAACUGGGAGGCUUGAGUGCAGAAGAGAAGAGCGGAAUUCCACGUGUAGCGGUGAAAUGCGUAGAGAUGUGGAGGAACACCAGUGGCGAAGGCGGCUCUUUGGUCUGUAACUGACGCUGAGGCGCGAAAGCGUGGGGAGAGAACAGGAUUAGAUACCCUGGUGUUCCACGCCGUAAACGAUGAGUGCUAAGUGUUAGGGGG